AGAACGAACGCUGGCGGCAUGCCUAACACAUGCAAGUCGAACGCGUGUAGCGAUACACGAGUGGCGGACGGGUGAGUAACGCGUGGGAACCUGCCCUGGAGUGUGGGAUAACCGAGGGAAACUUCGGCUAAUACCGCAUACGACCUGAGGGUGAAAGAUUUAUCGCUCUAGGAGGGGCCCGCGUCGGAUUAGCUAGUUGGUGGGUAAAGGCCUACCAAGGCAGUGAUCCGUAGCUGGUCUGAGAGGAUGAUCAGCCACACUGGGACUGAGACACGGCCCAGACUCCUACGGGAGGCAGCAGUGGGGAAUAUUGGACAAUGGGGGCAACCCUGAUCCAGCAAUGCCGCGUGAGUGAUGAAGGCCUUAGGGUUGUAAAGCUCUUUCGCGCGCGACGAUGAUGACGGUAGCGCGAGAAGAAGCCCCGGCUAACUUCGUGCCAGCAGCCGC
rnacentral:rRNA from 1 species